rnacentral:pre_miRNA from 1 species
GAUGUACUCCCUCCGUCCAACAAAAGAUGUCUCAAGUUUGUCAAAAAUUGGAUGUAUCUAGACAUGACUUAGUGUAUAGAUACAUUCAAAUUUAGUCAAAGUUAAGACAUCUUUUGUUGGAUGGAGGGAGUACAUU